AACCCUGCCUGAGCAGCUCCUGCAUUGCUACAAGGAUGAAGCAGAAACAUCUGGUCGGUUUUAGAUUCCCCUUGGAUUUCCAACUUCAAAGGGAAUUAUAAAGAAUAACAAAUUCAUGUACCGGCACUAAAAAAAAAUUAGAGCAGCAGGAGAGAAUGGUAAAAUUGUCCUUAUUUGACUGCUAGUGACAGGCGCCACAGGCAGAACUAUGAGAAAAGACAAAGGCAAGAUCACCAGUUGACAACCAGAGUUCCUGCAAGAGACUGAAUCUUUGGCUACAUGCAAAUAUGCACAGGGCCCUUAACAAUCCAUAGGGAGAUUUACUUGCUUAAGGAAAAUAAAUAGGUAAAUAAAUAAAAGGAGUUGAAAGGU
ensembl:lncRNA ZBTB20-AS2 ZBTB20 antisense RNA 2